GGGCGUUAAGUUGCAGGGUAUAGACCCGAAACCCGGUGAUCUAGCCAUGGGCAGGUUGAAGGUUGGGUAACACUAACUGGAGGACCGAACCGACUAAUGUUGAAAAAUUAGCGGAUGACCUGUGGCUGGGGGUGAAAGGCCAAUCAAACCGGGAGAUAGCUGGUUCUCCCCGAAAGCUAUUUAGGUAGCGCCUCGUGAAUUCAUCUCCGGGGGUAGAGCACUGUUUCGGCUAGGGGGCCAUCCCGGCUUACCAACCCGAUGCAAACUGCGAAUACCGGAGAAUGUUAUCACGGGAGACACACGGCGGGUGCUAACGUCCGUCGUGAAGAGGGAAACAACCCAGACCGCCAGCUAAGGUCCCAAAGUCAUGGUUAAGUGGGAAACGAUGUGGGAAGGCCCAGACAGCCAGGAUGUUGGCUUAGAAGCAGCCAUCAUUUAAAGAAAGCGUAAUAGCUCACUGGUCGAGUCGGCCUGCGCGGAAGAUGUAACGGGGCUAAACCAUGCACCGAAGCUGCGGCAGCGA
rnacentral:rRNA from 119 species